ACACACACAUUAUUAUACUGUAAGUCACUUUGCCCUCUUAGUUUAAACACCAAUAUAGUAGAAUAGGGACACGACCCAUAACAACAUAAAAUAAUAUGUAAGCUAUUACAUCAAAUUAAAGAAACACCUUGAAAUAGGCAAGCCUUGAGUCAUAAGGGUCCCUUUACAAGAACUUGGGAGAUUUAUCCAAGAUCUUCACUUAGGAAACAUUCUCAAGCUAUCACCACCUAUACUUUUUGUAAUAAGAUGAAGAACAAUUGUAUUAGUAAAAGCAUGCACUAAGUAUGGCAAGCAUGCAAAAACAUGCAUUUAAGCGGACAUUUCAUCUGAAAUUAAGCAACAUGUCUUUUUAGUGAACUUCAUGAAUAUAGGCAGAUAUAAGCUCGAUAUAGUUUACAUAUAUAGACAUGAAUAAACUCAUAAUAACACAUAAAGCCAUUUAUCAUACUUUGAGACAUAUUCAAUACAUACAAUACAUUACCUCUCUUUUAUAUUAUUUUUUUCUCACGUUACCCUCAAUUGUACCUUCUACAAUGUAUCACAUUGAGGUCACCUUACAACAGUCUUUAAUAGAUAUGCUUCAAAAACACAACCACAUUUAUUCACAAGUCAUACGUGCAUUAUAGACAUCAACUUCACAUAAAGACCAUCACUUAAGAUAACUCCUAGGUCUCACUAGUGCAAUGUAUAGAUAGAAUCCCAUAAUACUACCUCCACAAAGUGUACCUAAGAAUUCACCCUAGACUAGGCAUAACAUACUUAACAAGUCAUAAUACUUUUAUUUAUAACUAACCAUAAGGCAACAUACUCCAUAGCAUCAUAUAAAGACUCUUUACAUUACUAAAACCUUUGUCAUAAAUCCUAUAGUUAAAGCCAUAAGUAAACAACCGUUAUAAACCCUUUAAAAGAUUAGUUGUGCAAUGUAUACAUGGAGUCCAAUACCCCACAUAUUGUAAGUAAACUCAUCUAGAAGCCAUAACUUAAAUUCAAAUGCAUAAAUGUAAUUCAUAUCCUAACAUAAUAAAUUCACUUAACAUGCAUUGAUAAAAUUCAUACAUAACACAAGUCUUUACUUCAUAAGAGGGUCCCACCCUAUCCUCUCUUGAAGUUAUUCAUAAGAGGGUCAAAUCUCAUCCUUUGUUAAAGUCAUGUACUGCAAUGCAUAGAUAAGGUCUUUCGUCCUACCUAUGCUAAGUGCAUUUCACAAGGAAUUUAGAUUAGAAUUCAUAUUCAUAUCUUAUUCAAUUUACUAACCAUCUGAAUACAUAGCCAUAACCGACAUAGACCAUGUGAACUAUAUAGAUUCCGAGUUUGUACUCCUACACUGAAAAGAGAGGGUUAUCACACGCCUAUGCUGCAACGGUUAGAACAUAGUUGUAUAAGUGUUAUAAAAAAUCUAUAACCUACGGGGUCACGUAGUUAUGGAAUGUGGAGAUUGCUUCUACAACCCUUUACUUUUUAUAUUGGAGGUUUCCAUCUCAUGAGAUAACAUAUAUAUUGGGAACUGUACAUGCUAAACAUGAAAAAUCUAUUGUGGGAAGCGGUAUUUACUAACGUGAAACUCCUAAUCUCAUUUGUCAUGUUCACUCGGUGAUAGGAUCUAACUCCCCUUUUACAUAUAUUUAUGCAUUUAGUGUAUUGAUUCAAAAAUAAGGAUUUAGGAGAUUUUUCCUUUAUAAAUCAUAUUUCUCAAAGGAUUCUAAGAUUAGAAUGUUGUGUCAUCAUAGACCGCCCUUCAUAUGAGAAUUUCCUUUCACAUGUUCAUUCAAUCAUACAUCAUGUGUGUGUGUAGAAACUAUGAUAUAUACCUUUACAUAAACACCUCUAGUCACAGAAAUUCAUCGCUUCAUUAAUCAUAUGCAUACUUCCAUAGAAAUAGGUAAUGAUGCAUAGGAUAACUAUCAUUUCCUUAAUCAUCACGAAUCUACCCUGUUUAUAGUCAUGCAUGAACUGUAUGCUUACAAUGGUUAAUAUGAUAGCGUAUCGGCUGAUAUAGUAUUGAGGAAGCCAUCCUCUAUAGAUUACAACACAUAUACAACAUUCCUCAAGUAUCAUGUUAUACAUAGAUAUAUGACACUAUAGGAGACAACAACAUAUUCUACAUUAUAAUAGAACACUCUUACAAAUAUCUCAUCACACCUUAUAUAGGGUUUUCAAAGGGUAGGGUCAUUCUACAAGAAUAUUCAUUAUAAAUAUCCAUAUAUACCACACCAAAUCCUAACAAUUGAUAUUUAUAAUUAUAAAAAUAAGAAAUUAAAUACAAUCUAAUCACAAUUCUAUAACACAUGAAAUAAAGAUCAAAAGCCCCACAUUAUAGGCCAAUUUGAUAAAUUAGGAGGAUCAUAAGUUCUUCAUAAAAUUGUAUUAUAAUUCAUAAUUAAUAGAGUAAUUAAACAUGAAUCAAUAAUUAUAAUGACUUUGAAAUAAAAUUGACAAUGAACCCAUGCCUAUAUUUAAAAUUUUGAUUUUUUUGUCUUUGAAUAACUUUUGAAAAUAAUUGAUUUAACUCCUUAGAUGAAUGCAUAGCUAAGGAUGAAUGAUCACCAUACACUACAGAUGGAAGACCAAAAAAAUGGAGGAUAAACAAUAGAAAUCCAGCUGCUAGGUUGAUCUUACGUUUUGGUCUCCCAAUGAGGUUUUAGGAAAUUUUAGAAAGAGAUGAGAGUUUUGGGGUUUUAAUUUUUCUAAUUAGUGUUGGGGUUUUGACAUGGUAAAGGGUUUAAAUAGGUCUUUAAAUAAGUCUAUAACUGUCACGUGAAGUUACCAAAACACCCCCAUAUUUAGUAGGGCUUUUAAUCAUGUCAAACUCAACUUCAAUUUUCAGAAACUUCAUCGGGUAAGAAGUCCGCGAUGUGGAGUUGUUCGCGCAUUAUUUUUGGAGUAAAUUAUUAAACCAGUGGAGUGUGCCAUAUUUGCGACAUGGAUAAACAUUUCUAUUCUUGGUAGACGAUGUUGGCAAUGCGGAGUGGUUCCCCCAAAGACCAAAUGUUGUAGACUUGCGCACCAUGCUAGACCAACACUUGGGUCCUCAAGUAGGCCAAUUUCAUCGGUCCAUGGGGAAUUUCUACCUGACGUUUCCACAUUAAUUAAUCUAAUCUAACAUGUUAGUAACCUCUCACGGAAAUUUGAUCUCAAAACAAGACAUAAAAAUUGACGAAAACAUACUAAGACACACAAGCACGAUUCGAGGAAAAACUUUUGAACAUCUUGGACGUUUGACUUCCAAACUCCUCAAAACAUAACCCACCCGAAAUAGAAGUCGUUGACCUCUCAGAGGUUGCAGACAAGCAUACAACGUCAUCGUUACAUUAUCUAGGUUAAUUUAUGCAAAAAAUUAAAACAUUUAGUUACUUCAAGUAUACAUAUACUUCAUAGCAGGAUACAUUGUACUCAUAUUAGAUUUAUCUACAGCAGUUUUUAAUCGUUCAUAACAAUCAUGCAAUACCAAGAUACAUAAAUGAAUGAAAUAGGUCAUAAAUGCAUUAAAAUUUAUACUUGGAGAUAUUUCACAUUUACAAUGUCUGAAAUAAGUGAGAAUGAAACGCUGGUGGAAGAUCCUCCACUAUAUCAUGCCUACAUGUAAUAUAGAAUAUAAAAGAUAUGCAUCCUAGAAAGCGAGAGGGACUACCAUGUCCGGAUGAAUUCUCCACAGACGGAUAACUUCAGCAUAGUCGCGCAAUGUUGUAGCGUUCACUGACACCUGCAUCUUAAAAAAAGAGUGGUAUGGGAUAAGUACACACAUGUACUAAGUAUAGGUAUAUUCAAGCACACAUCAAGGACAUUCAUUAUUGAGAAGAGCUCUCUCCUAUGAUAUGAAUUAUGAAAAGUCAAGUCAUUCGACAUGCAAAAAUUGGAUUAGGAAAGUCAUGCAAUAAGAGUAACAUGCAUAAUCAUACGUAACAUAUUGCAUACAACACAAAACAUAUUUCUUAUUAGCACAUAACAUUUUUCAUAUCAUUCAUCAAUAUGAAAUGAGACCUUGAAAUCAUGGACAUGACAUUAGGACUUCCCAAAAUGAGGCCUCAACAUAUGGGAUCUCAACUAGGGAGCCUUCUUUAGUAAACACAUAGUCUUCUUUAUUCAUUGAUACAUACUUCAUAUUCAUUAGAUUGUAAGCUAGUUUAAACACAAACCAUACCUAGGAUGUAGUUUAUGACUAUUAUCUAGUUCGUUGUGCACUGACCUAGAAUGACCUACUGUAAUUAUUUAAGUCUAGCUUAACUCUUGAUUAUCCUAUCCUAACUCUUUUGGUAUCAUUCAUUUCAUUAUAUGCAUUACUUGAGGCUGACCACAUUCUUUUUUUGGGAUGUUUACCUUAACCGACAUAGAUCAUAUGAGAAUAAUGAAAUCCAAUGUGUUAUCCCCACACCGAAAAGAGGUGGAAUCACCGGCCAAACAGAACCAAAACAUGCUUGCAUAUAUAUUUAAUUGAACCCUGCUAGAUCUUUAUAUUGGAAGUAUAGGAUCAAAUACUAUAAUUUAUAAGGAUACCCAUGCACAACAUGUUGGACAGUCUCAUCACAUCAAAGUAACGUGAAUCUCCACCAUUCUCGAAGGAAGGCAUCACCGCUCGUAGCUAGCCUAUCGGUGCUAAGUAUAAUGUUCUGUUAAAUUAAACUCAUACAUAUUGGAAGUUGGGUUCUUGUAUGAUGACAUCAUACAUCAUUAUAUGAUUUCUCAUCUCAUCAUUAGUAUUAUGUAUGCAUUAUCUUCGAUAUAUUCAUUAUAGUGUUCAUAGAGAAUGGUCUCUUCAAUAUCUUUGCACUCUCUUAGGUUAGUACGUUUUGGUAACAUUUACAUAGGUUCAUUUGAGAUUGCACUAAUAUGUCACAUUAGCCUGUUAUCAUGUUUUCACCUCAUUUAUUAACGUUAAGAGAUUUUCUAUUCAUAAGUACUCACCCCUUCACGAGAAUGGUCAUUUCAUCAUAUGCCAAUGCACAUGGCUAUUUAGUGUGUUUCACACUCUUACUUAACCCUUCUACGGUUAUAUAGUCUUAUCGCAUAUAUCUUAAGAUCACAUACUUUUAAAAGUAUGAUAGACUUAUGGGUCCAAGCAUAAAAGCCAUGAGGUUUCAUUCAUAGUUUUUCUAUGUGAUUCAUUUUUAACUAUAAUUAUGUGGUACAAGACUUAUGCAUCUCGUAGAUAUGACAAGAUUAUGUAGUAGAAGACUUAUGCAUCUCGUAGAUAUGACAAGAUAAUGAUUUCGAUCUUUAGAGGCAGCAUUCAUUAAAUAUUUGUUGAUGUAUGACUUAUGUGUCAAUACGGAAUUGGGAAAGGGAACCCGAUUUCUUAUCCCUUGAAAAACACUUAAUCUUAUUUUAAACUUCAUUAUAGCAUUUUUUUUUUCAGAUUUGGAAGACCCUAGAUCAAUUCCAAUAUACCCCAUGAUAUUUCUUUCUUGUUCGUUCAAUCCCCACUCUCCACAUUUUAUUUUUCCUUUAUUUUUCUCCUAACACUCUCAUCAAUUCAAGAGGUUGUUGGUUCAAUUCCACUCUCCACAUUCUAUUUUGUCCUUUAUUUUUCUCCUAAAUCUCUCAUCCACUCAAGAGAUUAUGGGAUCAAUCACAACUCUCCACAUUUUAUAAUCUCCUUUAUUUUUUCCUAACUCUCUCAUCAUUUUAAGAGGUGUGGGUUCAAUCCCCACUCAGCACAUCUAUUUUCCCUUCCAUUUUCCUCAUGAUAUUUUUAUGUAAUUUUCAUUUUUUGUGGUUUUUGGUUCAAUCUCCAAUGACCUCACAUUUUAUAUAAAAUUUUAAAAGAUAUCUCCAUCUCCAAAAUAUAAGCUGAGAUCAACAUUUUCAAAAGAUGGAAAUUUUGUCCUCUUUCAAGUCGUUUUUCUCUUAUUUUUUAUGUUUAUUUUUCAGUAUUUUGACUGACAUUAAGUCAGCCACCUUAAAAUUAUAUGAAUAUGACGUUUUUAACAUUUUUAUAUAUGCGAAACACAACAUUUUAACAUAAAAAUUUCAAGCAGUAAACAUAAUAAAUGUUCAGUACAUACAUGAUCAAAACAGUCAACUAAAUAUAGUUUUCCGGCAUGUAUUUUUCAUCCAUUACAUGAUUUCUGAGUACACAUUUAACACAUGAUCACGACAAGACUUAUAAUUAUCUCCCAAAACACAUACACACGCAUGCUUUGAAUUUUUUAAAGAAUAUAAUGACAGGGCCAUGAAACAGGGAAAACCUUAGUUUUUCAAUCGUGAUUAAACUGAACAUUAAGGGUAUCUUGGGAAAGGUACCAAAAGAGAAUAAAACUCAUACCUUAAUGUCCUUCAACACUUUUUUCAAUGCUAUGAAUUUCCACUAUAGCACUUCGUAACAACAAAUAUCCUAAACACAAUCCAUCGAGAAGAAUGUUGUUGAUUUUCAAUUUUAGUUUAGAUUUUUGUUUGAGUUUUUGUGUGUAAAUUCUUCAAGAGUAAUGAACAAUUAUUUUCAGUUAUUUUAAUGGUAAAAAACGUGAGAAUGAGAGUGAUAGAUGUGAGAAUGAGAGGAUUUGGAUUAAGAGAGUUAGGUGGAGAUUUAGUUCAACUAGGAUUCCUAAUUAUCUAUUAAUUUUACUAUUAUUGUUAUUUUAUUGAAAAUAAUAUAUUUCCAUUAAUUUAAUCAGAUUUUUAAAUAUUAAUUAAUUCAACUAUUUCACUUAAUAAAAUUAAAUCAAUUUAAUCCUUGCUUCCACCAAGGCUCGAACCCUGGUGGAGCUACGUUUUGCUUAAUGGGUCGAAUGUGGCAACCACUUCCCCAAUUGCCCCUCCACCAUAUUAAUUAAUUAAAUAUAUAGGGAAAUUACAAUACUACACAUAGCGUGGAAAACAACAUUUUAUACCUAGACACUCCAAACAUAAGAUUACACCUUUUUAAUUCCGGGUAAGACUCAUCCGGGUAAAUCUUCAUACUCUGGUGCCCUACAUGGAUGAAACCAACCUUUCCUAGAAAAACACACUCACCAAGUUAGUUAUCUUGGUUGUUGCAGAUGUUAAGGGGUCUGGUUCUAAGCGCAUCGAUUCAUGUGGACCCAGUCUAAUCAAAGUAUUUUAGAUACAUUAGGCAUUAUUUAGUAUAGUCAUUUACGGUUGUUAUAUUAUCCCCCCCCCCGGUACAUUCCUCCCUAAAUGACACUACACAUUAUUUUAAAAUAAAGAGGGUUAUUUUCAUAAAUAUUUUAUCAUACUUAAGACAUUGCUCAUGGAGAAUAUAUGUUUCACACUUACUCUGUCCAAUGUGAAACCAAAUGUGCUUGUGUAUAUAUGGAAUUGAACUCUGCUAGAUCCCCAUAUUGGCAGUAUAGAUUAAAAGACUAGGAGAUAUAAGGAGACUCAUACCCGGCAUCCGGGACAAUCUCAUCUCAUGAGAGUUACGUGAACCUCCUCUAUUCCCGAAGGAAGGCAUCACCGCUCAUAGCUAUCCUAUUAGUGCUCAAUAUAAGUUCCAGUACAUUAAAAUCGUACAUCAUGGAAGCUCGCUUCUAGCACGAUGACAUCAUAGCUCACUGGAUGAUUUAUCAUCUCAUCAUUAGUAUUGAGUAUGCAUUAACUUCAAUGAUUUCAUUAGAGUGUUCAUAGAGACUGGUCUAAUCAUUUACAUAACACCCUCAUAGGUGAAUAAAUUUUGGUAACAUAUACUUAGGAUCAUUUGACAUUUAAUCUGUCAAAUUAUCCUUUUAUCAUAAUGUCACCUUAUUCAUUAACAUUAACACAUUAACUUUUAUUUUCUCCUUUAUUUUUCUCCUAACUCUCUCAUCCAUUCAAGUGGCUGUGGGUUCAAUUUUCACUCAUCACAUCUAUUUUUAUUUUAAUUUUUCUCAUUAAAUUUUUAUGUAAUUUUCAUUAGGUGAAGACUUGGUUUCAAUCCCUAAUAACCACACAUUUUAAAUAAGGUUUUAAAACAUAGCUCCAACUCAAAAAUAUAGGCCCAGACCAACAUUUCCAGCAAGCUGGAAAUUUUGUCCUCUUUCAAUUCGUUUUUCUCUCAUUUUUAUGUUGAUUUUUGUAGUAUUUUGAGUGACAUUCAGUCAGCCACCUUAAACUUACAUGAAAAUCACGGUUUUUACAUUUUUAUACACGUAAAAUACAACAUUCUAACAUACAAUUUUCAGGCAGCAAACAUAGUAAAGUUUCAGUAGACACAUGCUCAAAAUAGUUAACUUAAUAUACUUUUCCGGAAUGUAUUUUUCAUCCCUCACAUGAUUUCCGAAUACACAUUCAACACAUAAUAACAACCAAACUUAAAAUUAUUUACAAGAAGACAUACCAAUGCAUGCUUUGAAUCUUUCAAAGGAUCUAAUGACAAGGGCAUGCAACGGGGACAACCUUAGUUUUUCAAUCGCGAUUAAACUGAACCUUGAGGGUCUCUUUGCAAAGGGACCAAGAGAGAAGAAAAACCAUAACUUAAUAUCAUUCAACACUUGUUUCAAUGCAGUCAAUUCACACGACACCAUUGCUUCACCACAAAAUCUGAAACACAAUCCGUCGAGAAGAAUAAUGUUGAUUUUCUUUUUUAGCUUAGGUUUUUGUUUAUGUAUUUUUGUGUAAGUUCUUAAAGACUGAAGAAAAAUUAUUUUCAGUUAUUUUAAUGAUAAAAAAAUGUGAGAAUUAGAGUGAGAGACGUGAGAAUGAGAGGAUUAGGAUAAGGAGAGUUAUGUGGAGACUUAGUCAACGACACCUGCACCUAAGAGUACAGAGUUUCAUGGGAUUAGAACACACUUGUACUAAGUAUGGGAAUAUAAAAGCACACAUGAUAUGCAUGAUUAAGAAGAUCUCUCUCGUAAUAAUAUGAAUUAUGGAAAGUCAAGUAAGUGGACUUGCUAAAAUCGGAUUAGGAAAGUCAUGCUAUGAGAGUAACAUGCAUCAUCAUAAAUAACAUAUUGCACACAACACAUAAUAUAUUUCUUACUAGCAUAUAACAUAUUUCAUAUCAUUCUUUCAUAUUACAUGAGACCUUGGAAAUUGACUUGACAUUAGGACUUCCCAAAAAGAGGGCUCAACAUAUGAAACCUCUACUAAGGAGCCUGCUUUAGAAAACACAGAGUCUGCAUUAUUUAUUCAUACAUACUUCAUUUUCAUUCGUUUAUAAGCUAGUGUAAACACCGGCCAUACCUAGGAUGUAGUUUAAGAUUUUCUUUGGGUUCUCUAUGCAAUGAACAACAAUGACCUAGUGUUAUUACCUAAGUCUAGCUCACCUCUUGAUUAUCCUAAGACCUAUGGUAUCAUUCAUUUCAUUAUGUGCAUUACUUGAGGCUUCCCUCAUUCUUUCUUUGGGAACUUUAACCAUAACCGACAAAAAUUAUGUGAGCUUCAUGAAAUCCGGUGUGUAAUACGCACACAAAAAAGAGUCGGAAUCACCGGCCAAAGUUAACCAAAACAUGCUAGCAUAUAUGAGGAACUAAACCCUGCUAGAUAUCUACAAAAAAAGUAUAGAUUGAAAGACUAGGAGAUAUAAGGAGACCCAUAUCUGGCAAUGCCCAAUAUUCUCAUCUCACGAGAGUUAAGUGAACCUCUACCCUUCCCGAAGGAAGACAUCACCACUCAUAACUAGCCUAUCGGUCCUCUAUAUCAAGUUCUAUUAUAUUUAAGUCAUACACCAAUGAUGUUGGAUUCUAGCAUGAGGACAUCAUAUCUCAAUAGAUAAUUUAUCAUCUCAUCAUUAGUAUUAAGUGUGCAUUAACGUCAGUAAUUUCAUUGGAGUGUUCAUAGAGACUUGUCUAAUCAUUUACUUUACACUCUCAUAGGUGAAUACAUUUUGGUAAUAUAUACUUAGGCUCAUUUGAGAUUGCUAUAAUAUGUCACAUUAUCCUUUUAUCAUAUUGUCACCUUAUUUAUUAACUUUAACACAUUUGUUUUUCAUAAUUACUCACCCCUUAAUGUGAAUGCUUAUUCCAUCAUAUGAAAAUGGACUUGGCCAUUUAGUGUGUUUCACACUCUUACUUAACCCUUCUAAGGUUACAUCAUUUUAUCACAUACAUAUUUGGCUACUUAUUUUUUAAACGUAUGCUUGACUUAUGAGUCCCCACAUACAAGCAAUGAGGCUUCAUUCAUAGUGUGUGCAAGUCAUUCAUGUUUACCCAAGAUUAUGUGGUAAAAGAGUUGUGCAUCUUGUAGAUAUGCCAAGAUAUUAAUUUCGAUCUUCAGAGGUGGCAUUUAUUAAAUAUUUGUUUACGUAUGACUUAUGUAUCAAUAGAGAAUUGGGCAAGGGAACCUGAUUUUGAAUAUCUUGGACAACACUUAAUAUUAUUUUAAACUUGAUAAUUUCAUUUUUAUAUUUGGGAGACCCUAGUUAAUUCUAGUCAACCCCAUAACAUUUCUAUCCCGUUCUCCACGCCUUUAAUGAUUUAAGGCAAGGAGGUUUUUGGAUCAAUUCCCUCACAAGCUCAUUACUUGUCUUGUAAUUUAUCUCUUAACUUUCUCCCCUAUCCAAGAGGUUGUGGGUUCAAUCCCCACUCUCCAACAUUAUUUUCUCCUUACUUUUCCUCAAAUUCUCUCAUCCAUUCAAGAGGUUGUGGGUUCAAUCCCCACUCUCCACAUUUUAUUUUAUCCUAUAUUUUUCUCCAAACUCUCUCAUCCAUUAAAGAGGUUGUGGGUUCAAUUUCCACUCAUCACAUCUAUUUUUAUUUUCAUUUUGCUCAUGAAAUUUGUAUGUAAUUUUCAUUAGGUGAAGACUUCGUUUAAAUCUCUAAUGACCACAGAUUUUAAAUAAAAUUUUAAAACAUAUCUCCAACUCCAAAAUAUAGACCGAGACCAACAUUUCCAGCAAGCUGGAAAUUAUGUCCUCUUUGAAUUCUUUUUUCUCUAAUCUUUUAUGUUUAUUUUUGUAUUAUUUUAGGUGACAUUCAGUUAGCCGCCUUAACCUUAUAUAAACAUCGCAUUUUAAACAUUUUUAUACACGCGAAACACAACGUUUUAACAUACAACUAUAAGGCAGUUAACAUUGUAUAUAUUCAGAACACACAUAUUCAAAACAUUCAACUUAAUAUACUUUUCCAGAAUAUAAUUUUCAUCCCUUACAUAAUUUGCGAAUAUACAUUCAACACAUACUCAAAACCAUACCUAAAAGUAUCUAGCAUAAGACAUACCAACGCAUGUUUCUAAUCAUUCAAAGGAUCUAAUGAUAGGGGCAUGCAACGGGGACAACCUUGAUUUUUCAAUUGUGAUUAAACUGAACCUUAAGGGUCUCUUGGGAAAAAGACCAAGAAAAAAGAAAACCCAUACCUUAAUGUCGUUCAAUACUUGAUUCAAUGUCGGCAUUUCCCAUAACAAUACUGCCUCACCACAAAAUAUAGCAAACAUAAUACGUCGAUAAGAAUAUUUUUGAUUUUUCAGUUUUAGCUUCACUUUUUGUUCAGAUUUUGUGUGUAAGUUCUUCAAGAGAGAAGAACUAUUAUUUUCAGUUAUUUUACUG
rnacentral:lncRNA from 1 species